rnacentral:rRNA from 1 species
GACGAACGCUGGCGGCGUGCUUAACACAUGCAAGUCGAACGGAAAGGCCCCUUUGGGGGUACUCGAGUGGCGAACGGGUGAGUAACACGUGAGUAACCUGCCCUUGACUUCGGGAUAACUUCAGGAAACUGGGGCUAAUACCGGAUAGGAAUCCUUGCUGCAUGGUGGGGGUUGGAAAGCUUCGGCGGUUUUGGAUGGACUCGCGGCUUAUCAGCUUGUUGGUGGGGUAGUGGCUUACCAAGGCUUUGACGGGUAGCCGGCCUGAGGGGGCGACCGGCCACAUUGGGACUGAGGUACGGCCCAGACUCCUACGGGAGGCAGCAGUGGGGAAUAUUGCACAAUGGGCGGGAGCCUGAUGCAGCAACGCCGCGUGCGGGAUGACGGCCUUCGGGUUGUAAACCGCUUUCAGCAGGGGCGAAGCUUGUGGUGACGGUACCUGCAGAAGAAGCACCGGCUAACUACGUG